rnacentral:rRNA from 1 species
GAUGAACGCUGGCGGCGUGCCUAAUACAUGCAAGUCGAGCGAACAGAUAAGGAGCUUGCUCCUUUGACGUUAGCGGCGGACGGGUGAGUAACACGUGGGUAACCUACCUAUAAGACUGGAAUAACUCCGGGAAACCGGGGCUAAUGCCGGAUAACAUGUUGAACCGCAUGGUUCUACAGUGAAAGGCGGCUUUGCUGUCACUUAUAGAUGGACCCGCGCCGUAUUAGCUAGUUGGUGAGGUAACGGCUCACCAAGGCAACGAUACGUAGCCGACCUGAGAGGGUGAUCGGCCACACUGGAACUGAGACACGGUCCAGACUCCUACGGGAGGCAGCAGUAGGGAAUCUUCCGCAAUGGGCGAAAGCCUGACGGAGCAACGCCGCGUGAGUGAUGAAGGUCUUCGGAUCGUAAAACUCUGUUAUUAGGGAAGAACAAAUGCGUAAGUAACUGUGCGCGUCUUGACGGUACCUAAUCAGAAAGCCCCGGCUAACUACGUG